GUGAGGUUUCUGAACUUCUUGAUAUACACGAGAUGACUACGGGUGUCAAAGGCUUGUUCUUUCACUCAUCCAACUGAAGCCAGUUAGCACUCAAACAGUUACACAGUGUGCAGGUGUAGCUAAAACCCAAACAGGAAGCACCCAUUGAACAUCCUGUUACAACAAAAUAGAGAUACACUUUAGGCACUUGCCACAAUCCUAGCAUCACCAUUGGGCUGCUAUACAAAUCUUGUUCAAUAAUAUUCAGAGAAGGAGGAAAGCCAGUGCAGGGAACUAUGGCAAGUGGGAUAACAAAACUGAAUACUCAGGAUGUCCACGACUUCAUCUAACCAGAUCUGUGGUGCUUGUUUCCAUAGAAACUAUGUAUCAUCUUCAAAGGCAGAAUGAAGCUGUCGUGUUGCUGAAGGAGGAAGAGAUAAGUCAAAAGACAGAUGUCAGAACACCUGCACAUGUAUUAAAACCAGAGGACACAUGAGAGUACAUAUUAAAUAUAUCCUACAAAAUUAUUUCUAUGUUGAAAGUUAAUUUUCCUUUCUGCCCUUAUUUUUCUUCUGCAGCGGUAGAGGGGAAACCCACGCACAGCUGUGAGGAUGCCAGGCAAAUGCUUUGCUGCUGCAUCAUACCCAUCUCAAAACCUAACGUCAUAAAACCCAGUUUCCUGGACAGAAAACCCGAGGGACUCUUAGAUGUAGGAAGGCUCAUACGCUCUUUAACACAGGAGCGUGGACAAGAUGAAUGAUCCGCAAAGAAGUGCAUUGUGGGUGAGUGCCAAUUCCUUGGAAGGUAUGUGGACUUCUAUUCCCUACAUGGAGUGUGGCUUCAUCUGAUAAAAGGGACUUUACAUACUUAGGUUAGAAAAACUCAUAGAGUGACUUGGGGACACUAUGAUGCUGGAGGCAGAAAACAGACACACACUACUGCUGAACACGGAGUUGCAGCGGCUGCUUCCAGAAACUAGGAAGUAAGAGAGCUUUCAUUCAGAAGGAGCAGGACCAGGCAGGGUCACACUUUGACUUCAGAAUUCUCCCUUCAAAGCUGGUGAAGCGUACGUUUCAGUUCUCUUACACACAGGCUUUGAGUACUCUGCUAGGAAAAUCCCGGAAUGCUAAGACGAAUAAAUUUUCAUUUGCAAUAUCUUCGUGGUGUGACGAGCCAGGCGGUGGCACACGCAUUGUUGUCAUCCUUGCGGUUGGAAGGCUGAAGCAGGAGAAUCAUUGCAAAGGCUGAAGUCAGCCUAAUUGACAUGGUGAGUGUAGGCCAAGCAGAAAGGAAAAAGAGAAAUAAAGAGAGCAAAUAGAGAAAACCCAAGAAUUUUCUCUGGCCCCAUGAAGCCAUGACCUGGUUUGAGGGUGUUGCUUGCCCUAAUUGGCCACAUUUCCAGGUCUGGAGCUGGUAGUGUGCCCUCGGGACAUUGGUCUCUGUUUAUCAUCUUCUUUUAGUCUUUCAAUCUUGAGUAAAUAUCCAAAUAGACCUUCUCAGUGGUGAGAAAAGAAAACAGCAGAAUUUCUCAGCACAAUCAAAGGUUUGCUUGAAUAAUUUUUCUGUACAUAUGAAUUUUCUUCCGGUAGGAAAAAUCUUGUUUAGUUUCAGACUUUCUGAUGCAGUACAAAGAUAUUUCAGUCAAAACUCUAACUAUCUCUAUGAUUUAAAAGUACUCUGAGCAGGACAUUCCAUCCCAAUAGGUUGUCAGCUCAACAAGAACCAAGCUGCACAUUACUCUAACUAGGAAAUCUACAAAUUAAAUAACUUCAUAUUAGUCAUUUUGUAAUUGUAUGUUACAUUGUAUUCUUAAAUGAGAAUUAUGUAUUUUUUUUAAUUUUAAACUAAGGAGUCUUUUUUGAGGUAAUGGAAAUGUUACAAAGAAUCAGACUGCAGUGUCACCACAUAAAAGUGUUCUAUGACAUGUGAAAUGAGUGGAUUUUGAAGCAUGGAGAUAAUUAAAAAGCAAACCUGCCCAUCCUGGUAGGAAAUACCAGCUGUGGAGCUGCAGAUGUAGCAUUUGGUGAGGGGUAAUCAGAGAUGGCAUUUCCCUCACUGAGAUAAUAGCCAAGGGGAGACGAAGAUGUCACGGGUGUGCUGUCGCAGUGUCUUGCAAAGAGAAUCUGGAUAAGCCUGGGUCCUGUCAGAUGAAAGAAAUUCCAGAGACAAUGGCCCUCCAGAGGAUUCAUGAGUGACUUUUCUGCUAUCUGCAGGCUGAGCUAAGACUUUUGAAGACCUUUCAAGGUAUUAUCCCUGCCAGGAUAUCUACAGGGAAACAUUACUAAGAAAUUAUGUCAUAUACAUCAAUCCAUUUGACGCUCAUUUGCAAACAUGGUGCAAGUACAUAGACUAAUACAUAGUCUAUCUGUCUCUACUUUUUACAGUAAAUGGGAUGCAGUACUAGUGUUUCUCAGUGAUGGGAUGUGGUACUUUGUUUCUCAGUGAUGGGAUGCAGUACUAGUGUUUCUCAGUGAUGGGAUGCGGUACUUUGUUUCUCAGUGAUGGGAUGUGGUACUUUGUUUCUCAGUGAUGGGAUGUGGUACUGUGUUUCUCAGUGAUGGGAUGUGGUACUGUGUUUCUCAGUGAUGGGAUGUGGUACUGUGUUUCUCAGUGAUGGGAUGCAGUACUAGUGUUUCUCAGUGAUGUCUUGUGGAGCUCUAGUUUUAAAACCCUUCAAAGCAAUAGCUGCAUGAAAAAUGCUUUUUCAGAGGUGGGGGUAGAGGUGUUCAUGUUCAUUCCAUACCAUAAUUGAUUUUCAAUUGCUAGUUCAGCAGUGAGUUUCGGUUUUUACCUUACAGGAUCUUGCUAACACCAAUGGCAUACACACCAUUCUUUGACCAUAUUUUCUCAUAGUUUGGUAUGCAGUGAGAACACUUCAUUGAUAAAUUAUUUAUGUAAGCCAUUCUCUUUAUUAGUCAAGUGAUCUGAAAUAUAAAUUACAAGCCUCCCAAGUAUUUGUUUUUUCACAUCUAGGAACUAAUGACUUCGGUUACUAGGGAGACUAUUAGGGCAGAUUUUCCUCCAAAUGACUUUUUAAAUGAGUUUUCUGUAUGGGAAAAAUAUGUCACUUGUAAGUAAUGUAUUCUGAUUAUUUUCUAAUGCUAAUAGUCAUUAAUAAAAAUCAUUUUCAGCCAUUUUGGUCAUGUUAAACUGUUAAAUUCAUUAUUAUUAUAUUAUAUUAAAUAUGUGCGACUCAGAAAUAACCCGGGGAUCUGAAUGCAAAAGAGAUGAUACAAAAACAACAAGGAACUAGAGUGUACUUUCUGUCUACUGUGGCAAUCAUUGCUGAACGUACGGUUAGAAAGCCAUAUGCUCGCAUGAGCUAGGGAACUUUUCUCUUUAUAAAAUUGAACCUUAAUGUGGCAAAUCUAUGAGAAAUCAUGAGAUUUCUUUCAGUGUUAAGCAGGGUGUCUUGGGCAAACAUGGAGCACCUGAGACAGAGAACAGCCAUCAGGAAAGACACAUACCCACCUCUGACCUUGGUUGAUCCAUGAAUCCCUUGAGCAGGCUUCUUAGCAGUGUUAACACACUCAUCAAGCCAGCAAGAGAGGGGGGAAAGGGAAGAAGUGAGGUUUCCAGGAGGACUGCCGUACCCUGUGUAUAUUUGGCUGUGUUACCCAAAGCAAUCUUGGAUACAACAGAAUCCUUGUCAAAGAACUCAUACCAUUCUUCACAGAAAUGGAUAAAACAACCAUAAAUUUAUUCACAGAAGAGCAUAAAAGACCCAAGUAGCCAAAGCCACCCCAAGUAAAAAGAGUAAUAUCGACAGUGUUAGCAUCACUCACUUCAAACUAUACUACAGAGCUAGGGUUAGGAGAACAGCAUGGCACUGACACAAGCAGGCAUGUAAACCAGUGGAAGAGAACAGGAGACCCAGACAUAAAACAAUGCAGCCACAUCACUUCAUUUCAAUAAAGGUGUCAAGUACUCUCACGGUGGCCGGCCAGGACUUUUUAAUAAAUAAUACUGGGAAAAUUCACAUCCUGGAGAAACAAAUGGUUAUCAAAAAAUUCUCACUUGCCUCACUCAAAACCCAAUGCCAAGUGUAUCAAAGACAUUAACAUAAGACUCAAAACUCCGAAACUGAUGGAAGGAAUGUGGAGAAGACACUGCAAAACACAGGUAUAGAUGAGCACCUUCUGCAUAGUACUCAAAUGCUCAGGAUCAAUCCUGAAGAACAAGGCCUCAAAAAUGUUCCUGAGGGGUGGAAUGGGCUGUGGUAUAAAGCACUGGCCUAGCAUAGCCAGGGUCUUCAAUUCAACACACACAAAUACACACACACACACACACACACACACAUAUACACACAUACACAUACACACACACACUCAUACACACACACACACACACACACACACACACACACACACACACACACAAAUCCUUACAGCAAAGGAAACAGUUAAGCAAGUAAAAAGGAAAAGAGUAAAGUGACAGCCUGCAGAAUAGAACGUCUGCUAGCUUUAUACGUGACAAAGGACUGAUACCUAGAAUAUAUGAAACUCUAAUCAAAUGAUUUAAUCGCAGAUUGGGUUGAGAAGCUAAACAGACUUUCUCAUAAUAAAUAACAUUAUUUAUCAAAUGGCUAAUAUAUAACUAAUAAUGUUACUUUUAUUGCUGUUGUUGCGUGUGUUCAACAUUCUUAGUCAUCAGGGGAAUCCAAAUUAAAACUACUUUGAGGUUCUCUCAUGCAGUUCAGAAUGGCUUUCAACAAAGAAGCCCAGCACAUACUACACAGUUCUAUCACAGGCAGGGGAAAAGGGGACACUUACUGAUUUCCUAAGUCUCCUUACUGAUUUUCUAAGUCAUAUUCUCUGUAUAGUUGGGCAUUGGUGUUUCUUCAGAUAUGAACAACUGGGAUUCAUUUUGGUGUCAAGUGUUUGCGAAGGUGAAAGUGACUCUGUGUGUAUUUAUUUCAGAGACCAGAAAGCUUUUCCCACAAAGUCGUAUGCACACCUAGUCUUACUGAUUAUGACCACUGCUUACACAUGUGAAUAACAAGAAAAUAUAAAGCCAGAAAUGAAAACCAGCAUUUUUGCAAUCUAUUUCACCUGGCCACCUUAAUUACUGUCAAUUAAAUGAUCUACAUGUACUAAAAAUUCCUUGGUGUACUAUGGACAGUACAUGGCACAACACUAAAAACUAUCCAGGAUUCAAAUUGAUUAGGGGGGAAAGCAUUGUCUAAAAUACACUCUAUAACCCAGCAGGACCUGGAGCUGCUGUCCAGAAGGCCAUUAAAGGAAGAGAGAGUAUGUGGUAUCCUAUCAAAGGCAAGCUGGACAGGGCCAUUGUCCUUUGCAUGUAGGGAAAUGAGUGUCAGUGCCUAAAACCUGUUCUCCUCCAGACCUAAGACUACACCAUUCAUGUGACAAUCUGCUUUUCUCCCCUACCCAACCCCACUCUUUAUCCAAAGACAAAUGGUUCUUAGGUUAGGUUUGAAUAACCAUCCAUUUUACAUCAGAGAAGCAGGAAAGAGACCGUCCAUUUUCACUUGGCUGUGUGUGUGUGUGUGUGUGUGUGUGUGUGUGUGUGUGUAUUGGCAUACUUUCAAAUGCUUUUUGUGUUUACAGACACUAUAGGCCUUAACUUGAACCAGUCUGCUCUGCAGUGAUGUUUGAGUGAACACUUGGAACCCAUGGGUCCUCUGAACAGUGUUUCCCAACUCUGUCAGUUAGGGAAAAGGUAAAAACUGUUUCACCAUCUUUUCAACGAUGUAGCAAUGAGCUCUUCCUUCAAGUACUAAAAGCCUGGCCUUCGCCGAAGUAAAAUCAUUACCGGUCUCAAGAAUGUUUCUGGCUCUGACAGUGUAAAAGUUUAUGGCUCACUGUUCCGGCCAUUAGAGCUCUACAAAGGUUGAAUUAGGAGACACUGGAGUAGAAGGUGGCAUCCACACAGAGAAGCCCUCAUGUUUCCACAGAGGUGAGAGACUAACACAAUCCUUUUCAAAUCUUAUAUUGAAUAGAAGUGCAUUUUACAUUACAAACCAACCCACACACACACAAACACAUACACACACAAAGACCACAGAGUCAAUCAACUUUAUAUAGAGCUAUAACUAAGAUUUCAUAAAACAGUGCUACUGGAAUUAUAACAAAAACACUAGUAUGUUCUAUUUCAUGUCCCCUGUUUCUUUAUAAGCAGACCAUGAACUAGUAAGAUAUUUCAUAUCCCACUUAUAGUUUUCAGUUUUCCCAGAGCAUCAUGAAGUAUGUUUCAGAGAAUGAGGAUGCUGGGCAAACAUAUGCCUUGAGUCUUUGAACAGUGCCACAGCUGUGUUCUUGUAAGGACCAGUUAAACAGGACAGCCUAAGGUUGUAAUCAAAUGCAUGAGACCUUCGUUAAGUCACAAAGUCUCCUUGGUUAACAUAAAUUCAAUUAUGAAGAGCAGGUAACAAUUGCUAAUUAUUUAUUUAGUCCAGGGCUGUUUGGAAUAACAAAUUAAGUGUGUUUUUCAGUUUAAAUUGGAAAUAAGUUCAUACUUUUAGUAACCAGGUUUGCAAAGGGACUUUUGAAGAGCCCAGAGUCCAUUCUUUUCCUUUUUGUGUUUUGAAAAGGAGUCUCAGAUUCAGCCUGAGAAUCUGCAGGGAAGAAGAUUGCAUGCAAAAAUGAAAAACAAGCACUGUAUAAUAUUGCAGACAGGCCCUGGGGAACCUUUGAACACCUCCCAGACCAUGUGUUUGGGUGAAGACCCAAUCCUUGGGGGGAAAGAACAGUUCUUAAGAGAAGGAAAGUUGGGAGCAUUAGAAAACCUGAGUUAAUGGAGCCCUUUUAAAGAAUCAGAUGCAGAUGUGAAAGGUAAAUGAAGCAACACUCCAGAGGGGGAGGCCAAGAAAGCCAGGAGCAUGAGAAGAAAUGCCCAUGUGACUUCCCAAGGAGGAAGUAAAGAAGGGGCCCAUCCACUUAUACCCUCCACCCUGGCCUGGGAAGCCAGAGAAUAUUCUCAGUAUUCCCCUCUCCCUGUCCCUCUCCCUCCCUCUUCUUCUCCCUCUCCUUGUCCCCUUCCCCUUCCCUCUCCCUCUCUCACUUUCUCUCAGCAUAGAGGGUCUAUCACUGGAAAUUCAGCAAUUGAGGUGGUUGGCCCAUGAGCCCAGGGAACUCUUGACUAUGCUUCUCCAAUACUCCUGGCUUUUUACUUUGGCUCUAGGGAUUGAACUUGGGCUCUUGUGCUGGCAAAGCAAGUGCUUUACCAGUUGAGCUAUAAAAGCAUUCUUUAUGGUACAGAUCUUGCUUGAACAUCUAUCAACAGGUUCUUGACACAACCACAAAAUUUUUGAAAAACAAGCUCAUGUAUUAAUUUGAAUUCAAUUUUAGCAGCUUGAAAGUGAGGCUUUAAGUUAAAAGUAGGUGUCUUUAAUUAGUUCCAAGUUUUUAAUCUAACUUCUACUGGAAAUCACACCCCCUUCACUUGAUAUCUAGAACAAAGGACAAAGUAUGAUAGAUAAGUAAGCUUUAAAAAAAACAGAAAAGAAAUCAAAGUAUGUGUUAAGAUCUGGCAAUAUCAUCUGUACUCAAAUGCACAUAAGGAAAAUUAGUUUGGGUUUAAUAUGUAUAAAACAAUGCACAACCCAGACAAAUUGUCUGGCAAAUUAAUGAAUAAUCUAGACUUGAAUUUUAAUGUCUUAGAAGAUGUUUUCUAAGGAAUAAUUUUGGAGGAAUGUAGUACUAGAAUUCAAAAUCUGCCCUUCUCUGUGUGUGAUAUGAUUUUAUAUUCAGUCUUCCAUUCCUGAGGCUUUGUAGGAGACGCCUUAUUGGUACCAAUGUAGAAAACAUCUCUUAAUCUAACGUACAUAUGCCAGGAUUGUAAUAAAUGUUACAGAUAUGGGCAAAGGCUUUAUUUCAGCAAGACCCCUUGGAUAUCUGAAUAAGAUUCAAGGCACAGAACUUUGAAAAGAAGCUUUGCAGCUUCUCUUUGGUUUGCUUUGUUAACAGUGGGCUCAGGGUCAUUCUCAGGUUUAGAAGAGAAAAGGAAACCCCAAUGAGGUCUUUGCUACUCACAGUUCUCUGGUAGACAUCUUCAUAUAUGUUCUACUACUCAAAUGUUUGUUACAAACAACGCCUUGACUUCUCUUUUAAUCAAUGACUUUAUAGCUCCAAUUAAUUUGUUCCAUACAUGUUGUCAAGUCCACAGGUAAGAAUCUACUUCAGUGCUGAGCUCUCAAAGACAAGGGCAGUUCACACUUUGCCCCUUAAGUAGAAGUAGCAGGUAAUAAAGGCAAAAGUAUGACAGGAAGUUCUAUUUGAACACUAGAGAAGGAGUCCUUGCUUGUUCAGGGAGGCUGACACUGAGGUCUCACAUAGCACUGGGCGUGGUGGAGCAUGAAAGGAAGGAAGAAGGUCCCUGGGCAGAAAACAGAGUUCCAAGAAACAGAUUUUGCUAGAUGUGUGUGUGUGUGUGUGUGUGUGUGUGUGUGUGUGUGUGUGUGUGUAACAGAGAAAAGCCAGAACUAGAAUGAAACAAAGCAUGAGACAAAGGUAUGCAAAUUCAUAGAACCUUUUACCUGUGGCCAAAGAGGCAGGAUGCAGUUAAAUGAAAGGGAAAGGCAUUGAACGGGUCUGAGUGGGAAAGUAAUAUGACUUGAUUUACACCUAUAAAUGCACACCCCAGCAGCUGUAUGGAGGACUGACAAAGGAAACAAGAAUAGAGGCAUCAAUCAAAAAGCUUUGGCUGAAAUGAGAAAGGUGGUAUCAUGGACCAGUCCAAGGGCAAUGAAAGUGAUUCCUUUUGAAAGCCUCCUGCCGGCAUUGUUAGCUGCCUCCCUGGAAGCUACCCUCCCCCAUUUCAGUCCUCACACAUGAUGCUCUGACAUUCAAGGUUGGCCCAACUGUACUACGAUAUCCCACUCCCAUUAGUAUCCCUGCCCCCACUUGCUACCUAACACUGCUCAGCAUGUCCUUCCUGGUUGUCCAAAAGGACCUCUCAGAAAGGCAGCUGGGCUAAAUCUGCAAAGCCUCUCUCUUGCUUUGUAGCUGCUAAAAGGAAACGGAUUUUAUCCAGCUCUGCCCUUGACCCAAACUAGACAGAAAUGUGAAAACAGAACAAGAUAUCUCCCAGGCCUGUUCUGGUGGAAGAGCAUUUCUGAGCAUCUCUGUGGUAAUUUAAUUUUCAAAUGUUUAUUGCCUUUGUUUACAUAGAUAAGGAAGUAAAGCACCUUCAUUUCCCUGACUUAUGUGGCAACAGAACUCCCACUUGGGAAGUGAUAAUCUGCUUCACAGAACUAGUUUCAAGAGUAUCAUCAUGAGUACAGUAAACAAAAGAUGGCUGAAGGGAACAGGAAGAUACCAGGGAGAUCAAAACCUCUACAGUGUUCUCAGGUUUUUAUCAUUGUUAGAGAAAGAACUCAAAGGUGUGGCAAAGGAUGGGGAGAGAGCCUUGAAUACAAAACAGAAGUACCCAGGAGACAUGUGAGCCACUUGGAGUCAGUCAUGCCUCUAGGAAUGACCGGAACAGCACUUUUCCAGAGAAAGUCUCAGGGUAGGAGGCUUAUUCAAGACCCAAGAAAUAGAGUCUAUUCCUCAGUUUUGUCAUUAUGUCUUUGACAUGUGUCUUCUGGGAGCAACAACUGUAGAAGGCCGAUGAAGGGAGAUGCCACUUUAAUGACGCAGAGUACUGUCAGUGUAUCCUCUAAGUCUGGAGGUUGUCCAAGGUGGUUUGAGCAAGCUCUGAGUGUCACUGUAGUGACAUGAAGUCCUAUGGUAAACGUGUUCUGUUUAGGAAUCAGCCUCCAGACACCAUGCAAUCACCUUUUCCCCGAUGGGGUCUAGCCUGCAUCCAAAGCAAUGAACUUCAUGGCAUCAAAUAACAUUCUUCAAAAUCCUGCCACAUCCGAGAUAUGCUUAGAAAGCCCACAGCAGGCUGCAAACAUCUAAAGACAUAUGUGGCGAAGCCUGCGAUGAAAAAAAAAAGAUCAACUACUUGGGAAAAUCUAAUAAAGUAAAUGUUUGAUGUUAAGAUCUGAAUACUCAGGAAUCCUAUUUAUCAUCAAGGAUUAGCAGAGUUUUUAAAAUUCAAGAGCCAGUAAAGAUACAGCUAGAAAAUUUCUUCCUAGAGUCCCCCUUUUAUUAUUAAUUAAACUCAUUAUAGGGGCUGGGG
ensembl:lncRNA